AGUGACUUCCAAACUGGGAAAUGAUAUCUACAAGAGCUCCGUAACCUCCAACAGCAAUCACUCCAGAUGGGUGUAUAGAGACAGAAAAUGCUGACUGAGGAGCACAUGGUAUUUGUGAAACAAUUGCCCCAUUUAUGUCGAAACGGCUGAGUAGAGGCUCAGCUCCAACAGCUAAAACUUGGUUGUCUUCAAAUAUCACAUCCUGUAUGGAUGCACGAAUAGAAGCCCUUGUAACACAUUCAGAAGCCGGAAGAUUCCAAACUGAUAAAUUCUGACCAUUGCUAAAAGCCAACCAGCUCUCACUUGCGUCAAGAGCAACGCAGCUAACAAAUGAGGAUCGUUUCAACUUCUUAUCUUUCUCUGAAUCAAUUACUUGGACACACUUCCCACUUUUGCAAUCCCAAAUUCUUGCAGUUCCAUCUUCUGAACCAGUUAUGAUCUGAAAUCCAGGAAGGCAAAAAGAGUUGGAUAGAGUUU
rnacentral:misc_RNA from 1 species